rnacentral:rRNA from 1 species
UUGGAGGGCAAGUCUGGUGCCAGCAGCCGCGGUAAUUCCAGCUCCAAUAGCGUAUAUUAAAGUUGUUGCAGUUAAAAAGCUCGUAGUUGAACCUUGAACCUGGCUGGCCGGUCCGCCUCACCGCGUGCACUGGUCCGGCCGGGUUUUUCCUUCUGGGGAGCCGCAUGCCCUUCACUGGGUGUGUCGGGGAACCAGGACUUUUACUUUGAAAAAAUUAGAGUGUUCAAAGCAGGCCUAUGCUCGAAUACAUUAGCAUGGAAUAAUAGAAUAGGACGUGUGGUUCUAUUUUGUUGGUUUCUAGGACCGCCGUAAUGAUUAAUAGGGAUAGUCGGGGGCAUCAGUAUUCAAUUGUCAGAGGUGAAAUUCUUGGAUUUAUUGAAGACUAACUACUGCGAAAGCAUUUGCCAAGGAUGUUUUCAUUAAUCAAGAACGAAAGUUAGGGGAUCGAAGACGAUCAGAUACCGUCGUAGUCUUAACCAUAAACUAUGCCGACUAGGGAUCGGACGAUGUUAAUUUUUUAAUGACUCGUUCGGCGCCUUACGGGAAAC